rnacentral:rRNA from 1 species
UGAGCAAUCUGCCUAGAUGUGGGGGGAUAGCCGGCCCAACGGCCGGGUAAUACCGCAUACGCUCUCCUGGUGGCAUCACCGGGCGAGGAAACUUUCGAGGCGUCUAGAGGAGCUCGCGGCCUAUCAGCUAGUUGGUGAGGUAAUGGCUCACCAAGGCGACGACGGGUAGCCGGCCUGAGAGGGUGACCCGGCCACACUGGGACUGAGACACGGCCCAGACUCCGUACGGGAGCAG